rnacentral:rRNA from 1 species
UACAGAGGGGGCAAGCGUUGUUCGGAAUUACUGGGCGUAAAGGGCGCGUAGGCGGCAUGUUAAGUCAGCUGUGAAAUCUCCGAGCUUAACUCGGAACGGUCAGCUGAUACUGAUGUGCUAGAGUGCGGAAGGGGCAAUCGGAAUUCUUGGUGUAGCGGUGAAAUGCGUAGAUAUCAAGAGGAACACCUGAGGUGAAGACGGGUUGCUGGGCCGACACUGACGCUGAGUGCGCGAAAGCCAGGG